UACGUAGGGUGCAAGCGUUGUCCGGAAUUAUUGGGCGUAAAGAGCUCGUAGGCGGUUUGUCGCGUCGAAUGUGAAAACCCGGGGCUCAACCCCGGGCCUGCAUUCGAUACGGGCAGACUAGAGUUCGGUAGGGGAGUCUGGAAUUCCUGGUGUAGCGGUGAAAUGCGCAGAUAUCCGGAGGAACACCGGUGGCGAAGGCGGGACUCUGGGCCGAUACUGACGCUGAGGAGCGAAAGCGUGGGGAGCAAACAGG
rnacentral:rRNA from 1 species